rnacentral:rRNA from 1 species
UUUCCAGAGAUGGAUUGGUGCCUUCGGGAACUGUGAGACAGGUGCUGCAUGGCUGUCGUCAGCUCGUGUUGUGAAAUGUUGGGUUAAGUCCCGCAACGAGCGCAACCCUUAUCCUUUGUUGCCAGCGAUUAGGUCGGGAACUCAAAGGAGACUGCCAGUGAUAAACUGGAGGAAGGUGGGGAUGACGUCAAGUCAUCAUGGCCCUUACGACCAGGGCUACACACGUGCUACAAUGGCGCAUACAAAGAGAAGCGACCUCGCGAGAGCAAGCGGACCUCAUAAAGUGCGUCGUAGUCCGGAUUGGAGUCUGCAACUCGACUCCAUGAAGUCGGAAUCGCUAGUAAUCGUGGAUCAGAAUGCCACGGUGAAUACGUUCCCGGGCCUUGUACACACCGCCCGUCACACCAUGGGAGUGGGUUGCAAAA